UAUCAUGGAGCUCCCAUUUUUGCCUCAACCGUAAAUUUUCCUUUAGCCUAGUUAUAUAUCCCAUGCAUUCUGGAGCUGGAUAUUCCGCACAGCUUAGAGAAACAAAAAUAAAAUAGAAGCAAGUGCUUGAUAAACAUCCACAGUGAAGGAGGAACCUGUUCCUAUCGACUCCUAAUUUCACCUGGUCUUUUUUAAUACUUUGAACCCAUUUCUUUUUUCUUUCUUUUUUUUUUUUUUUGUGGUAUGCGGGCCUCUCACUGUUGUGGCCUCUCCCGUUGUGGAGCACAGGCUCCGGACGCGCAGGCUCAGCGGCCAUGGCUCACGGGCCCAGCCGCUCCGCGGCAUGUGGGAUCUUCCCGGACCGGGGCACAAACCCAUGUCCCCUGCAUCGGCAGGCGGACUCUCAACCACUGCACCACCGGGGAAGCCCCAGGUUAAACAUUUUUUUCAAGACUACUACAGGUAUAACUUGGAGAUAUUGCAGGUUCAGUUCCAGACCACCGCAAUAAAGGGAAUAUCACAAUAAAGCAACAUACAAAUGUUCUGGUUUCACAGUGCACAUAAAAGUUACAUUUACACUAUACUGUAGUCUAUAAG